UCGGGAAUUUUGGGCAAUGGGGGAAACCCUGACCCAGCAACGCCGCGUGAAGGAUGAAGUAUUUCGGUAUGUAAACUUCGAAAGAAUAGGAAGAAUAAAUGACGGUACUAUUUAUAAGGUCCGGCUAACUACGUGCCAGCAGCCGCGGUAAUACGUAGGGACCAAGCGUUGUUCGGAUUUACUGGGCGUAAAGGGCGCGUAGGCGGCAAUUCAAGUCAUCUGUGAAAUCUCCGGGCUUAACUCGGAACGGUCAGAUGAUACUGCUUUGCUAGAGUGCAGAAGGGGCAAUCGGAAUUCUUGGUGUAGCGGUGAAAUGCGUAGAUAUCAAGAGGAACACCUGAGGUGAAGACGGGUUGCUGGGCUGACACUGACGCUGAGGCGCGAAAGCCAGGGGAGCAAACGGGAUUAGAUACCCAAGUAGUCCCUGAGCGGGCUGGCAAGGCGCAU
rnacentral:rRNA from 1 species